rnacentral:rRNA from 1 species
UACGUAGGGUGCGAGCGUUGUCCGGAAUUAUUGGGCGUAAAGAGCUUGUAGGCGGUUUGUCGCGUCUGCUGUGAAAAUCCGGGGCUCAACCCCGGACUUGCAGUGGGUACGGGCAGACUAGAGUGUGGUAGGGGAGACUGGAAUUCCUGGUGUAGCGGUGAAAUGCGCAGAUAUCAGGAGGAACACCGAUGGCGAAGGCAGGUCUCUGGGCAACAACUGACGCUGAGGAGCGAAAGCGUGGGGAGCGAACAGG